rnacentral:rRNA from 1 species
UACGAAGGGGGCGAGCGUUGUUCGGAUUUACUGGGCGUAAAGGGCUCGUAGGCGGCCAACUAAGUCAGACGUGAAAUCCCCAGGCUCAACCUGGGAACUGCGUCUGAUACUGGAUGGCUUGAAUCCGGGAGAGGGAUGCAGAAUUCCUGGUGUAGCGGUGGAAUGCGCAGAUAUCAGGAGGAACACCAAUAGCGAAGGCAGCUCGCUGGGACGGUACUGACGCUAAGGCGCGAAAGCGUGGGGAGCGAACAGG